CCUGGCUCACGACGAACGCUGGCGGCGUGCUUAACACAUGCAAGUCGAACGGAAAGGCCCUUCGGGGUACUCGAGUGGCGAACGGGUGAGUAACACGUGGGUGAUCUGCCCUGCACUUUGGGAUAAGCCUGGGAAACUGGGUCUAAUACCGAAUAGGAUCAUGCUCUUCAUGGGGUGUGGUGGAAAGCUUUUGCGGUGUGGGAUGGGCCCGCGGCCUAUCAGCUUGUUGGUGGGGUAAUGGCCUACCAAGGCGACGACGGGUAGCCGGCCUGAGAGGGUGACCGGCCACACUGGGACUGAGAUACGGCCCAGACUCCUACGGGAGGCAGCAGUGGGGAAUAUUGCACAAUGGGCGCAAGCCUGAUGCAGCGACGCCGCGUGAGGGAUGACGGCCUUCGGGUUGUAAACCUCUUUCACCAGGGACGAAGCGCAAGUGACGGUACCUGGAGAAGAAGCACCGGCCAACUACGUGCCAGCAGCCGCGGUAAUACGUAGGGUGCGAGCGUUGUCCGGAAUUACUGGGCGUAAAGAGCUCGUAGAUGGUUUGUCGCGUUGUUCGUGAAAACUCACAACUCAAUUGUGGGCGUGCGGGCGAUACGGGCAGACUAGAGUACUGCAGGGGAGACUGGAAUUCCUGGUGUAGCGGUGGAAUGCGCAGAUAUCAGGAGGAACACCGGUGGCGAAGGCGGGUCUCUGGGCAGUAACUGACGCUGAGGAGCGAAAGCGUGGGGAGCGAACAGGAUUAGAUACCCUGGUAGUCCACGCCGUAAACGGUGGGUACUAGGUGUGGGUUCCUUCCUUGGGAUCCGUGCCGUAGCUAACGCAUUAAGUACCCCGCCUGGGGAGUACGGCCGCAAGGCUAAAACUCAAAGGAAUUGACGGGGGCCCGCACAAGCGGCGGAGCAUGUGGACUAAUUCGAUGCAACGCGAAGAACCUUACCUGGGUUUGACAUGCACAGGACGCCCGGCAGAGAUGUCGGUUCCCUUGUGGCCUGUGUGCAGGUGGUGCAUGGCUGUCGUCAGCUCGUGUCGUGAGAUGUUGGGUUAAGUCCCGCAACGAGCGCAACCCUUGUCCUAUGUUGCCAGCGGGUUAUGCCGGGGACUCGUAGGAGACUGCCGGGGUCAACUCGGAGGAAGGUGGGGAUGACGUCAAGUCAUCAUGCCCCUUAUGUCCAGGGCUUCACACAUGCUACAAUGGCCGGUACAAAGGGCUGCGAUGCCGUGAGGUGGAGCGAAUCCUUUCAAAGCCGGUCUCAGUUCGGAUCGGGGUCUGCAACUCGACCCCGUGAAGUCGGAGUCGCUAGU
rnacentral:rRNA from 1 species